UUCAAUUUGGCUUUCUUGUGUUCAUCUACAUUCUUACUUCCUCUCCUCUGAAUUUAUACAGUUUGCAGUUCGAGAUAUGGGAAUUCAGUUUAAGCCAACUUCGAUUCAGUUGCUGUGCAUUAGAGUGCAAUUAAGUUUCUCUAAAGUCUGUACUGUACAACCAUGAUUUCAUUUAGUGUCCUCGUUUGUCUAUGUACCGUACAACCAUGGUUUUGUCUCUUUAUUUGUGGUUUUCGCCUGAUUUUAUCAAUAUUAAUUGAUAAAUGUUGUUGAGAUAAUUAACCAUUAUACUUGUGUGAUUUAUGUAUCAUUGUUCUUGUCAUAAUAGAAUUUCCAAUUUCUGUGCAA
rnacentral:lncRNA from 1 species